GAUGAACGCUGGCGGCGUGCCUAAUACAUGCAAGUCGAGCGAACAGACGAGGAGCUUGCUCCUCUGACGUUAGCGGCGGACGGGUGAGUAACACGUGGAUAACCUACCUAUAAGACUGGGAUAACUUCGGGAAACCGGAGCUAAUACCGGAUAAUAUAUUGAACCGCAUGGUUCAAUAGUGAAAGACGGUUUUGCUGUCACUUAUAGAUAGAUCCGCGCCGCAUUAGCUAGUUGGUAAGGUAACGGCUUACCAAGGCAACGAUGCGUAGCCGACCUGAGAGGGUGAUCGGCCACACUGGAACUUAGACACGGUCCAGACUCCUACGGGAGGCAGCAGUAGGGAAUCUUCCGCAAUGGGCGAAAGCCUGACGGAGCAACGCCGCGUGAGUGAUGAAGGUCUUCGGAUCGUAAAACUCUGUUAUUAGGGAAGAACAAAUGUGUAAGUAACUAUGCACGUCUUGACGGUACCUAAUCAGAAAGCCACGGCUAACUACGUG
rnacentral:rRNA from 1 species